rnacentral:rRNA from 1 species
GUAGGUGGCAAGCGUUGUCCGGAAUUAUUGGGCGUAAAGCGCGCGCAGGUGGUUCUUUAAGUCUGAUGUGAAAGCCCCCGGCUCAACCGGGGAGGGUCGAUUGGAAACUGGGGAACUUGAGUGCAGGAGAGGAAAGUGGAAUUCCACGUGUAGCGGUGAAAUGCGUAGAUAUGUGGAGGAACACCAGUGGCGAAGGCGACUUUCUGGCCUGUAACUGACACUGAGGCGCGAAAGCGUGGGGAGCAAACAGGGAUUAGAUACCCUGGUAGUCCACGCCGUAAACGAUGAGUGCUAAGUGUUGGGGGGGUUUCCCGCCCCGUCAGUGCUGCAGCUAACGCAUUAAGCACUCCGGCCUGGGGAGUACGGUCGCAAGACUGA